UGAAAUCAAUUUCAUGGGCUGCAG
rnacentral:piRNA from 1 species